rnacentral:rRNA from 1 species
ACGAACGCUGGCGGCGUGCUUAACACAUGCCAGUCGAACGGAAAGGCCCUGCUUUUGUGGGGUGCUCGAGUGGCGAACGGGUGAGUAACUCGUGAGUAACCUGCCCUUGACUUUGGGAUAACUUCAGGAAACUGGGGCUAAUACCGGAUAGGAGCUCCUGCUGCAUGGUGGGGGUUGGAAAGUUUCGGCGGUUGGGGAUGGACUCGCGGCUUAUCAGCUUGUUGGUGGGGUAGUGGCUUACCAAGGCUUUGACGGGUAGCCGGCCUGAGAGGGUGACCGGCCACAUUGGGACUGAGAUACGGCCCAGACUCCUACGGGAGGCAGCAGUGGGGAAUAUUGCACAAUGGGCGGAAGCCUGAUGCAGCAACGCCGCGUGCGGGAUGACGGCCUUCGGGUUGUAAACCGCUUUCGCCUGUGACGAAGCGUGAGUGACGGUAAUGGGUAAAGAAGCACCGGCUAACUACGU